GGCCGGCUGGCCUAAUGGUUAAGGCGUCAGUUUCCGGUAUUGCACUGUUAGCUGAAGAUUCCGAGUUCGACUCUCGGGUUGGUCG